rnacentral:rRNA from 1 species
UACGGAGGGUGCAAGCGUUGUUCGGAAUCAUUGGGCGUAAAGCGCGUGUAGGCGGCCCGCGAAGUCGGAUGUGAAAUCCCUUAGCUCAACUAAGGAAAGCCAUUCGAUACUGGCGGGCUUGAGUACGGGAGAGGAGAGUGGAAUUCCCAGUGUAGAGGUGAAAUUCGUAGAUAUUGGGAGGAACACCGGUGGCGAAGGCGGCUCUCUGGACCGAUACUGACGCUGAGACGCGAAAGCGUGGGGAGCAAACAGG